rnacentral:rRNA from 1 species
AUACGUAGGGGGCAAGCGUUAUCCGGAUUUACUGGGUGUAAAGGGAGCGUAGACGGCGAGUCAAGUCUGAUGUGAAAGGUGGGGGCUCAACCCCCAAACUGCAUUGGAAACUGGUUUGCUAGAGUGUCGGAGAGGUAAGUGGAAUUCCUAGUGUAGCGGUGAAAUGCGUAGAUAUUAGGAGGAACACCAGUGGCGAAGGCGGCCUGCUGGACGACAACUGACGCUGAGGCGCGAAAGCGUGGGGAGCAAACAGGAUUAGAUACCCUGGUAGUCCACGCUGUAAACGAUGAAUACUAGGUGUGGGGGGACUGACCCCCUCCGUGCCGCAGUUAACACAAUAAGUAUUCCACCUGGGGAGUACGAUCGCAAGAUUGAAACUCAAAGGAAUUGACGGGG